GAACAGAUAAAGUUGGCUGGCUGUUUGCUCCCAUUGUGCUACUAUGGUUUCUCUUAAUUGGGGGCAUUGGCAUAUUCAACAUCUGGAAGUAUGAUAGCAGUGUUCUGAAAGCUUUUUCACCUGUAUAUGUUUAUCGGUAUUUAAGAAGGGGUGGUAAAGAGCGUUGGACCUCCCUUGGAGGUAUUUUGCUUAGUAUAACAGGCACAGAGGCCCUUUUUGCAGACUUAGCCCAUUUUCCAGUUUCAGCUAUACAGCUUGCUUUUACAAUGGUUGUAUUUCCAUGCCUUCUUUCAGCCUAUUCUGGACAAGCUGCUUAUCUUAUGCAGAACUCAGAC
rnacentral:misc_RNA from 1 species